UACAGAGGGCUCAAGCGUUGUUCGGAUUCAUUGGGCGUAAAGGGUGCGUAGGCGGCGCGGUAAGUCGGGUGUGAAAUCUCGGAGCUUAACUCCGAAACUGCAUUCGAUACUGCCGUGCUUGAGGACUGGAGAGGAGACUGGAAUUUACGGUGUAGCGGUGAAAUGCGUAGAUAUCGUAAGGAAGACCAGUGGCGAAGGCGGGUCUCUGGACAGUGCCUGACGCUGAGGCACGAAGGUCAGGGGAGCAAACGGG
rnacentral:rRNA from 1 species